UACGUAGGGUGCUAGCGUUGUCCGGAAUUAUUGGGCGUAAAGAGCUCGUAGGCGGUCUGUUGCGUCCGCUGUGAAAACUCGGGGCUUAACCCCGAGCCUGCAGUGGAUACGGGCAGACUAGAGGUAGGUAGGGGAGAAUGGAAUUCCCGGUGUAGCGGUGAAAUGCGCAGAUAUCGGGAGGAACACCGGUGGCGAAGGCGGUUCUCUGGGCCUUACCUGACGCUGAUGCACGAAAGCUGGGGGAGCAAACAGG
rnacentral:rRNA from 1 species